rnacentral:rRNA from 1 species
AGCACAUGAGUAGCAAUACGAUGGUGGCGACCGGCGCACGGGUGAGUAACACGUAUGCAACCUACCUCUAACAGGGGGAUAACCCGUUGAAAGACGGACUAAUACCCCAUAAUACAGGGGCUCCGCAUGGAGAUAUUUGUUAAAGAUUUUAGUCGGUUAGAGAUGGGCAUGCGUUCCAUUAGCUAGUUGGUGAGGUAACGGCUCACCAAGGCGACGAUGGAUAGGGGAACUGAGAGGUUUAUCCCCACACUGGAACUGAGACACGGUCCAGACUCCUACGGAGGCAGCAGUGAGGAAUAUUGGUACAAUGGAGGCAACUCUGAACCAGCCAAGUCGCGUGAAGGUAAUGAAGGUCUUAUGGAUUGUAAACUUCUUUUGCAGGGGAAUAAAUAGCGGUACGUGUACCGUUUUGCAUGUACCCUGCGAAUAAGGAUCGGCUAACUCCGUGCCAGCAGCUGC